rnacentral:rRNA from 1 species
GCGCGGGACACGAGAAAUCCUGCGUGAAUCUGCCGGGCCCAUCCGGUAAGGCUAAAUACUCCCGAGAGACCGAUAGUGAACCAGUACCGUGAGGGAAAGGUGAAAAGCACCUCGAACAGAGGAGUGAAAUAGUCCCUGAAACCAUGCGCCUACAAGCGGUCGGAGCACAUUUUUGUUGUGUGACGGCGUGCCUUUUGCAUAAUGAACCUACGCGUUACUUUUUCCGGCGAGGUUAAGGGAAUUGAUUCCCGGAUCCGAAGCGAAAGCGAGUCUUAACAGGGCGGUUAGUCGGAAUGAGUAGACGCGAAACCAAGUGAUCUACCCUUGGCCAGGUUGAAGGUCAGGUAACACUGACUGGAGGACCGAACCGAUAAGCGUUGAAAAGCUUCCGGAUGAGCUGAGGGUGGGGGUGAAAGGCUAAUCAAACUUGGAG